rnacentral:rRNA from 16 species
AGAUGCGAUCAUACCAGCACUGAAGCACCGGAUCCCAUCAGAACUCCGAAGUUAAGCGUGCUUGGGCGAGAGUAGUACUAGGAUGGGUGACCUCGUGUUGCAUUUC